GAUGAACGCUGGCGGCAGGCCUUACACAUGCAAGUCGAACGAAUGUCGUGAUUAUUGAAGCUUCGGCCGAUUUAAUCACAAUGGCAUUAGUGGCGAACGGGUGAGUAACGCGUAAGAACCUCCCUUAAGUUCGGGAUAGCCUAUCGAAAGGUAGGGUAAUACCGGAUGUGAACGAAAGUUUAAAGGCUUCGGCCGCUUAAGGCAGGGCUUGCGUCCUAUCAGCUUGUUGGUGAGGUAAUAGCUCACCAAGGCUAAGACGGGUAGCUGGUCUGAGAGGAUGAUCAGCCACACUGGGACUGCGACACGGCCCAGACACCUACGGGUGGCAGCAGUGGGGAAUCUUCGGCAAUGGGCGAAAGCCUGACCGAGCCAUGCCGCGUGCAGGAUGAAGGCCUUUUCGGUUGUAAACUGCUGUGGUAGUCAACUAAUAAAUGAAGUGACUACUAGAAAGAGGCUGCUAACUAUG
rnacentral:rRNA from 1 species